CCCUGUUAGUGCGCAUCACUAACACUUCACCAGGCUAAUGUAUGUCUUAAUUUGUCUGGCCAGUGGUGUAACUCCUGUGUUGUCUUUGCAGUAAGCAGCAUCAUAUGUGAAGGCUCUGAUUCUCAACUACUAUGUGAUCGAGGUGAGAUCCGUAUUCAGCGUGCCAACUAUGGUCGUCGUCAACACGAUGUGUGUUCCAUUGGGCGCCCACAUCAACAACUCAAAAAACCAACUGCCUCAGCCAAUCCACCACCAGCAAAAUGGCAGAAAGGUGUGAUGGAAAGCGCCAGUGUAUCGUCAAGGUAUCCAACUCUGUGUUCGGUGACCCCUGUGUCGGAACCUAUAAGUACUUGGAUGUGGCUUACACCUGUGACUGAAUGAUAUCUUCCUGGGAACCUGAAGAUGUACAAG